rnacentral:rRNA from 1 species
UACCAGCUCUCCGAGUGGUGUGGAUGUUUAUUGGGCCUAAAGCAUCUGUAGCUGGCUGGACAAGUCCCCUGUUAAAUCCACCGAUUUAAUCGUUGGUGUGCGGGGGAUACUGUUCGGCUAGGGGACGGGAGAGGCCGACGGUAUUUCCGGGGUAGGGGUGAAAUCCUAUAAUCCCGAGAAGACCACCAGUGGCGAAGGCUGUCUGCUAGAACGUGCCCGACGGUGAGGGAUGAAAGCUGGGGGGAGCGAACCGGAUUAGAUACCCGGGUAGUCCCAGCUGUAAACGAUGCAGGCUAGGUGUUUGGACGGCCACGUGCCGUUCUAGUGCCGCAGGGAAGCCGUUAAGCCUGCCGCCUGGGGAGUACGGCCGCAAGGCUGAAACUUAAAGGAAUUGGCGGGGAGCACCACAAGGGGUGAAGCUUGCGGUUU